AGUCAACAUGCCCAGGGGACGUGGAUAACCUCGGGAAACUGAGGAUAAACCACGAUAGGUCAUAAUGUCUGGAAUGAUUUAUGGCUAAAAUCUACAUGGCCCCUGGAUUGGACUGCGGCCGAUCAGGCUGUUGGUGAGGUAAUGGCCCACCAAACCUAAAACCGGUACGGGCUCUGAGAGGAGAAGCCCGGAGAUGGGCACUGAGACAAGGGCCCAGGCCCUAUGGGGCGCAGCAGGCGCGAAAACUCUGCAAUAAGCGAAAGCUUGACAGGGUUAUUCUGAGUGACUUCCGCUAAGGAAAUCUUUUGGCACCUCUAAAAAUGGUGCAGAAUAAGGGGUGGGCAAGCCUGGUGUCAGCCGCCGCGGUAAUACCAGCACCCCGAGUGGUCGGGACGAUUAUUGGGCCUAAAGCAUCCGUAGCCGGUUCUACAAGUCUUCCGUUAAAUCCAUCUGCUUAACAGAUGGGCUGCGGAGGAUACUAUGGAGCUAGGAGGCGGGAGAGGCAAGCGGUACUUAGUGGGUAGGGGUAAAAUCCGUUGAUCCACUGAAGACCACCAGUGGCGAAGGCGGCUUGCCAGAACGCGCUCGACGGUGAGGGAUGAAAGCUGGGGGAGCAAACCGGAUUAGAUACCCGGGUAGUCCCAGCUGUAAACGAUGCAGACUCGGUGAUGAACAGGCUUCGUGCCUUUUCAGUGCCGCAGGGAAGCCGUUAAGUCUGCCGCCUGGGGAGUACGGUCGCAAGACUGAAACCUAA
rnacentral:rRNA from 1 species